UUAUGUAAAUAUCUAUAGUGUUAAUGCACCAGAACUCCACAGUUAAGUGCACUUGGGCUAGACUAGUAUUGAGAUGGGUGACCUCCCGGGAAGUCCUAGUGUUUUACAUGCC
rnacentral:rRNA from 1 species